AGAUCGUGAUGUGGACAUAUCCUCAUCAUGUCCUUGUAUCUCUCCCACACUUCAUAGAGAGAUUCUACAUCUUUUUGCCUGAAUCCGUUGAGCUCUCAGCAUAGCAGUU